rnacentral:rRNA from 1 species
UACGGAGGGUGCAAGCGUUAAUCGGAAUUACUGGGCGUAAAGCGUGCGCAGGCGGUUUGUUAAGUCUGUUGUGAAAUCCCCGAGCUCAACUUGGGAAUUGCGAUGGAUACUGGCAGGCUGGAGUAUGGUAGAGGAAGGUGGAAUUCCCGGUGUAGCAGUGAAAUGCGUAGAGAUCGGGAGGAACACCAGUGGCGAAGGCGGCCUUCUGGACCAAUACUGACGCUCAUGCACGAAAGCGUGGGGAGCAAACAGG